GCUCCAAUAGCUCAGUCGGUACAGCAUGAAACUCUUAACCUCAGAGUCAUGGGUUCAAGCCCCACGAUGGGCA